rnacentral:sRNA from 1 species
UUUGAAGGUUGCGAGAAGGCCUUUUCAAGGCUUGAAAAUCUCAAGAUCCACUUGCGGAGCCACACAGGCGAGAAGCCGUAUUUGUGCCAGCAUCCGGGUUGUCAGAAGGCCUUCAGUAACUCCAGUGACCGCGCCAAACACCAGCGGACGCAUCUGGACACCAAACCUUAUGUUUGUCAAAUUCCAGGAUGUACCAAACGCUACACAGACCCAAGUUCCCUAAGAAAGCAUGUGAAGGCACAUUCUUCCAAAGAGCAACAAGCAAGGAAAAAGUUGCGGUCCAGCACAGAGCUCCAUCCAGACCUGCUCACAGAUUGCCUCACUGUGCAGCCCCUGCAGCCGGCCACUUCCCCUAGAGAUGCUGCUGCUGAAGGGACCGUGGGACGCUCCCCUGGACCUGGGCCUGACCUCUAUUCAGGUAAAGACAGCAAACGCAGAGCCAACCACAACUACCCUUUUUUAGGCCUUUUACUCUGGUUAAAAGGAAUGCUUACAUGAGAAAAAUUUUCCUAAGAUCGUCUGUGUUGUUCUUUAUCAAUGGGCUGCAAAUUGCUCUCCACCCCUUCUGAUUCCUGAGCUGGGUGUGGCAGCAGAUUGUUUUUUCUCAUAAAGAAAUAAAAUAAAAUAAUGCAUUACCCUUUUAGUUAUGGACUUCUGCCAGAAAUUCAGUACACCCAACCCUCGCAGUUAUGUUACAUUUACUCCCUUGAUUUAGACUCAAAGGAAAUGUUUCCUCCUUAAGCAGGUAGCAGGCUGCAUGUGGAUUUCUUAAUGAAACAGUUGUUGUCAUCUUUGUUUUAAAAGGAAGCCCCAGGUCUCUAAGGAAAUUUUCACAUCAGCAAACCAACUUAU